CGUCAGCAGCUCAACCAUCCUUCCGGCUUUAUCAGCCCAAUAAGAAUCAAAGAAAGGGGCUUUGUUACCCAAGUGGAAUAUUACCAAUGGCUCAGUUCCCAAUCUAAAGCUAGAAAGACAUUUAGUGUCUUUUCAAGUUCUUGUCUAAACUCUCUCUUGAGUUUCAAGUCCUAGAGUCUGCUUUCCUCAUUGAAAAAUUUCCUGGUAUGAAGAGAUGGGACAACGAGCUUUAAAUAACAGCUUCCCGUCCAAGUACAACAUCCAUGGUUUCAAUGGAGGCAGCAACCCCACCUGGCAGUGCCUCAGCUCGUAUGGAUGGGCCAGCACUGGCCAUGAGUUAUCAAGCCAGUGAGUCUGAAUCACAGCUCUAUCCCUACAGGGCAAGACUCAGUACUUAAUGGAAACCAUCACACCAUUGCACUGCGAGAGCUCAUCUAACAUGUUGGCUUUGAGAAGCCUCAAGCCUGAAGUAUUGAACGGUCACCUAGAGCAUGUUCAUUUGAUCUGACAGCGCUAGAGAGGAAUGCAGAGGUGGAAACAAGACAAGGAAAUUCCGAUGCGCACGUAUCAGCCCUGGGAUAGAAAGCCUGGAGAAAAGAUGCAAGACUUGCAUGCCCAUCGCAAUCCAUGCCACAGGUGCUGGAAAGAGAACAGCAACCUUUAGUAAGCAAGCGACUGUGACGUGUCCAAGGAAUUCACCUGCAAACUCUCCAUGAGAACUGUUUACCUUCCCUCCACAUGGCCAUGCACAUCUGCAAUGCUAAAUUGAUGUCGAACCCUCCAGUGCUGCUUUUAGAAGACCUGCCCUUCUGACCCCAGAUCCUUUAUAGAAGACUCAUUUUUCUGUCCACAGGCUUUUAGAAUGUUUUCUUUAUUGUGGUGUUCUGAAACUUCAUGAUAAUGUACCUAGCUAUAAGUCAUUUUGUAUUCAUUUUGCUGGACACUAGAUGUCCCUUUCAAUCUGAAAAGUCAUCAUACAGAUCUAAGAAAUUUUUCUUAUUAUUGCUUUGAAAAAUUUCUCCUCUCAGUCCCGUUAUCAACAGGCUUUUAGGAUUUUUGUUUGUUUGGUUUGAUUUAGCUAUUUUUACUCUCACAGAAACACUCUAAUGAACAUCCUUGGGCAUACUUCCUUGUGCUCAUUUGCAAAUUUUUCUGUGCAGUAAAUACUGAGAUGCAAAGUAGAAUUUCUACAUCAUAGGAUAUGCAUAUUUUCAAGGUUCAUGCAGAAACUGAAUGCUUCCAAUAUGGAAAAAAAGUCUCCAACAUAAAUGGAUAACAUUGUUUAGUGCUUAAUCCCAAUACAUCCACAUCCCAGUGUCACAUUUGCUUUUUAUAAAGCUCACAACUUCAUUUUUGACACUCUCCCCCAGCCAGCCUGUGACUCUCCUCUAUAGAGGAAAGAGCAUGCAGAGCAAGUUCAUAAUCCUAGCUCCACCACUCCCUAGCUGCAAGACUGUGACCAAGACCCUGUCUGAACUUCAGUUUCCUCAUCUGUAAAAUGGACUAUCUACUUCCCAGUGCUGUUGAAAGAUUAAACAUGAUGCAUCCAGCACAGUGCCUAGCACACAAAAGAUACUGAAAAAGUUAAUUCCCUCCCCUUAAUUAUCAAUUCUAUACAUUUGGAGGUAAUGGAAUUAGCAUGUUUGGUCAGAGAUGCAACUUAAAUCCACACCAUAGCUGUAACUGGGAUCUACAAUGAUCCUGACCAGACCUAAGUUUACAUGUCGAAAUCCAGAUGUUGCUUGAAGGUCAUCUAGAACCUACUCCAAACCCCCUCCCAAGAAAUAGAGCCUGGAUAAGUCCCUUUAGAGCAGUCAUCCCACCUUUCAUGUCCGAGCAUCCUCCCGCCCCUUAGACGGGUUUGGGAUGGUUCCCCUUCUACCCUGAGAGAGCUCUAUGUAUUUUAGAUCCAGAACAGGGGCCCCUGGUAAGAGAGAACAGCUUCUGUUCUAGAAGUCCUCUUCCUCUCUCGUUAUCCAUCCAUUUUUAUGCAGCUUCAGGGCACAAAGUGACAAUGAGCUAAAUGAUUACGCUUAUUUGAUUCUAUCACAACUCAGAUAACAAUUAUUUCUUGAGCACAUGGCGUUUUGAGCCUGGUUUUUUAAAGAUAAGUUCCCCUUCCUUCCCCUUCCCCUCCUUUUCUUCCUCCCUUCCCCUCUCUGUGAUAUUGGGCAGCCUGCAGCCCUUGCUUUGCCUCUAUCUAGUUCUCUGUCCAACACCACCAGCAAGGGACAAAGAGGAGAGAAUGUGGUGGCAUCUUCCCUGUUUACUGCUCACGUCUCUACAGCUUUCCCUUGACCCUGCCGCUCCUGAAUAUUCAUAUGGAGUCUGGCAAAGAAACCAGCUCCCCCAGCCUGGUGUUGUAAUUACUAGUGACUAUUAAUUAUCCUCACGCUGAGCAGGUCUUCCUUGACAUAAACAAGCCAAACCAGAGCAAUUUCUGUCAGAGUCGUAGGCAAGAUCAGAGGUCAGGACACUUGGUGAGAAUGGGUGCACAGUGACAAUCUAGAAUUGACUUGAUCAUAUUCUAUGUUCAUGUCUGUCUGUUCAUCUGUGUUUCUUGGCCUAACAAGCCCAGUGGGAUAACCUUUCCACUAACUUACUGGAUAUUUCAGAAAGCAUUCGAAAAACAACCUGGUAAGUGAAGCUGAGUCCCAACUCAGUGUACUGAAAGACCUGGUCUGCAUGAUGCAUUGCUUGGGAAAAAUUUAUGGAGGGUCUAUUUUGUGCCUUGCAUUGCAUGUAGGGUGGGAGGAGAGGAUCCAUGGUACGCAUUCCUCUUUGACUCUCUUCCUCAAAUCUACAGUCUUGUUUAUUUCCACUGCAGUGUGAUUAAAUUCCAGUUUAUAAAAUACAGGCAUAACUUGAAGAUAUGGCCGAUUUGGUUCCAGACUGCCGCAAUAAAGCAAAUAUCGCAAUAUAGUGAGUUACACAAAUUUUUUGGUUUCCCAGAGCGUAUAAAAGUUAUGUUUACACUAUACUAUAGUCUAUUAAGUGUGUAAUAGCAUUGUCUAAAAAAACACAAUGUAUAUACCUUAAUUAAUAAAUACUUUGUUGCUAAAUUGCUAACCAUCAUCUAAGCCUUCAGUGAGUCAGAAUCUUUUUGCUGGUAGAGGGUCUUGUAAAAAAAUCUGUGAAGCAUAAUAAAGCAAAGUGAAAUAAAACAAGGUAUACUUGUGAUGAAAUUUCUUAUUUAUUGAGCAUUUCUGAUGUUUCAUGCACUAUACCAAGUGCUUUGCCUACUUAACAUCCAUUAUCUCAUUUAGUCCUCAUGUAAAGC
ensembl:lncRNA